rfam:Gossypium raimondii Chr05_contig_175, whole genome shotgun sequence.
AUACCUUUCUCGGCAUUUUGGCUAAGAUCAAGUGUAGUAUCUGUUCUUAUCAGUUUAAUAUCUGAUACGUGAUCCAUUGGAUCACAAGAUAUUAAAUUUAUUUUUUAAGUGGGAGAGUCCAUCACCGUAGCUUGCUACUUGGGCUCUCGAUCGUUGCCCUGGUUUUGCACUAUUGCGUGGGCCCGGCGUACCGCAC